CUCCUCCAGCCCCCAUAACCACUACCCGAGAAGGGAGUGGACACAAGAGAAACUCCAGGAACAUCAGAGGAGUAAAUGAGAAGGGGGCUGGUAGAGUCUACUAAGGAGGUAUUAGUAUUCAUAUUAGAAGCCAUGAGUAAUGAACCAGUUUGAGAAGAAAACAGUCUCGGUAAGCAAAAUAUAACGGAACCAGAGUUCACAUACAAAGCAUACAAUACUCAAAAUAAGGACAGAGUUACCCUCCUU
rnacentral:lncRNA from 1 species